rnacentral:rRNA from 1 species
UACGAAGGGGGCUAGCGUUGUUCGGAAUUACUGGGCGUAAAGCGCGCGCAGGCGGUUUUCCAAGUCAGUGGUGAAAGCCCGGAGCUCAACUCCGGAACUGCCAUUGAAACUGUUAAACUUGAGGACGAGAGAGGUGAGUGGAAUACCCAGUGUAGAGGUGAAAUUCGUAGAUAUUGGGAAGAACACCGGUGGCGAAGGCGGCUCACUGGCUCGUUUCUGACGCUCAGGCGCGACAGCGUGGGGAUCAAACAGG